rnacentral:lncRNA from 1 species
AAUCUUUAAAGUACUGAAAGAAAGAAAAAGGUCAACAUAUAAUUCUAUGUCCAGAAAACAUACAUAUAUUUCAUAAAUGAAAGCAGAAAUAUAUUCAGAUAUACAAAGGUUGAAAGAAUUCAUCACUAGCAGACCCGCACUGCAAGCAUCUUUAAAAGAAGUCCUUCAGGCAGAAGAAAAAUGAUACCAGAUGGAAAUACGAAUCUUCACAGAAGAAUGGAAAUCACUGGAAAUGGACAGACCUUCUACAGAAAGUGCUUUCACAAGAACUGACAAACGAUGUCUAAACGGAAAGUUCACAGCUACAACAUCUGUCUUUGUUUGUAUUUCUUUGAGCUAAGCAAGAGGAUUCAGCCACCCAGAGGGUUGUUUGCCUAGUCAGCAGGACAGCCGGAGCAAAGGCAGAGAGAGGAACACAAGGUGUGAGGGAAGAAAGGAGACGCGUGCAAAGAUUGUCAAUCACCAGGAAAGCAAAACUGGAGAACGAGAACCUAGAGAGAAGAGAUGACUGAAGCAACAUGACAACAUGAACAAAUGUGACACGGAACAUUCGUUGGCAACUUAGUGAAAUAUCUUUCAGAAUUCAAGGAGAAAUAAAGACUUUCAGGCAGACAAAAACUGAGAGAAUUAAUUGCCAGUAGAUUUGCACUGAAAGAAACGUUAAGAUCUUCAGGCAGAUGUAUUAUAGUACUU